rnacentral:rRNA from 1 species
GAUGAACGCUGGCGGCGUGCCUAAUACAUGCAAGUCGAGCGAACAGACGACGAGCUUGCUCCUCUGACGUUAGCGGCGGAAGGGUGAGUAAAACAAGGAGAACCUAACUAUAAGACAAGGAUAACUUCGGGAAACCGAUGCUAAUACCGGAUAAUAUAUUCAACCGCAUGGUUCAAUAGUUAAAGACGGUUUUGCUGUCACUUAUAGAUGGCUCCGGGCUGCUUUAGCGAGUUGGUAAGGUAACGGCUUACCAGAGCGACGGUGCGUAGCCGACCCGCGAAGGUGAAGCGCCACAGGGGGGCUGACACGCGGUACAGGCGCCUAGGGGAGGCAGAGGUAGGGAAGCGUGGGCAAAGGGGGGAAGCCUGACGGAGGGGCGCCGCGUGGGUGAUGAAGGUCUUCGGGUCGUAAAACUCUGUUAGGGUGGAAGAACAAAUGUAGAAGGAACUAAGCUCGUGUUGACGGUACCUGAUCAGAAAGCAACGGCUAACUACGUG